AACGAACGCUGGCGGCAGGCCUAACACAUGCAAGUCGAACGCGUCCUUCGGGACGAGUGGCAGACGGGUGAGUAACGCGUGGGAACGUACCCUUUGGUUCGGAACAACAGCGGGAAACUGCUGCUAAUACCGGAUAAGCCCUUCGGGGGAAGAUUUAUCGCCAGAGGAUCGGCCCGCGUUAGAUUAGCUUGUUGGUGAGGUAAUGGCUCACCAAGGCUACGAUCUAUAGCUGGUCUGAGAGGAUGAUCAGCCACACUGGGACUGAGACACGGCCCAGACUCUUACGGGAGGCAGCAGUGGGGAAUCUUGGACAAUGGGCGAAAGCCUGAUCCAGCCAUGCCGCGUGAAUGAUGAAGGCCCUAGGGUUGUAAAAUUCUUUCGACGGGGGAAGAUAAUGACGGUACCCGUAGAAGAAGCUCCGGCUAACUUCGUGCCAGCAGCCGCGGUAAU
rnacentral:rRNA from 1 species